AGCUACUUUUUAUUAUUACUAGGUUUUAACCCGCGGUUUACCGCGGACAAUCGGUUUAUUUGGUUCUUAUACUAAAUAUUUGAAUAAAUUUGAUAUCCUAAACUUAUAAAUAUAAAUUUCUAGUGAUUAGUGAAGAAUCGUAAUAUAUGAUUUGGAUAUUAUUGAUUAUUGAUUUCGUGAUUGAAUAUAGUGUUUUUAGGGAUGAAAUGUGAUAUAUUUUGAUUUCAAAAACGACAUAGAUUCCUUAUUUUUGUUGAACGGUUUAUAUUGAAGGGAAAUAAUUUUAUUGAACGGUUUAGAUUGAAUAGGAUCAUAAAAGUUUAGGAAAUUGUUAAGACCAAAUUACCCAUAAUGAUUUUGAAUAGCAAAGAACAAAAUCCAAAAUUGAAAUCAAAAUUGACGACAAAUUAGACAAAAUUUCAAUUUGUACUUUCCUUUUAAUAAUAAAGGGAUUAUUGAUACAUGCAUCUACAACAUACUUCCAACGGUUUCUACAAAAAAAAAAAAAUCAAAAUCAAAACAUGUUAUGCUUUGAGACCAAGAGUGAGCUCAAGGGACAAUUCUUCUUCACUUUUUGA
rnacentral:sRNA from 1 species